CUUGGAGAAGGGGAGGUGUAGAGCAUCUGAGAGAGACUUUAAUGCAUGCUGUCAGUGUCUUUGAAAGCGAAUAGUCAGUCAGAUUGGGAUUGCAGCAGCCCUAAGUACAGUCCUUCAGAUACACUCCAAGGACUUUCUCUUCAAAAAGGAACUUGGGGGAUUUCUCAUCACUAGACUCCAGCUGAUGUGUUCAUAACUAGUAUUCAGAAGUGAUUGUGUAUUUUGUUUUGUUUUCUUUCCUGGUGUGGAUACACAGCUGGUCCUUCAGCUUCAACAUGUAGAUGGUUUAUGUGCGGUGCCUCUUGCCCUGUUGCCUAGACAAUUAUUCGCUUCCAAAGAGAAUGUCUGGCUCUCGCAGAGACUUCGAUGUCAAACAGAUUUUGAAAAUCCGAUGGAGGUGGUUCAGUCAUCAGGCGGCUCCUUCCGGCAAUGUUGGUGGCGUACGUCAAGAGCACAUUACGAACGGCGAGCAAAACAUUUCGUCUAUCGAGAGAAAGUUUUUAGAUCCAUGUAGACUGGCUCUGCCUUUGCCGUCGCUCAGUUACAGAAGAAUUAGCCAUCAGGACGUCACAGAUUUACCUGCAUGCCCAAUGGCUUCAGCCUCCGAGGUCACCGUCCCUUCCAUCGAGUUUACAACAGAUGCCUCUGAUGGAGCACAUUUCCCUAGCAAAUCCCAAGCCGAGGAUGGUGUUAGCGAUGAGGAAAACGAAUCAGAAAGCAGUUCAUGCAGG